UAUGUAUCCAAACACUUAGACGGAAAGCUA
rnacentral:piRNA from 1 species